rnacentral:lncRNA from 1 species
UUAACAGUUUCAUAGUCUAUAAUAGUUUCUAAGUGCUGAGAUUCUUCUAAGUUAUUGUAUCCACCAAUAAACUGUGUAAGAAUUUUCAACAGCAGUUCCUCAAACCAUGAGUUUAAAAAAUCUUUCAAGUCAGUACUAAAAACAAUGACUGAAAACUCUAGUCUAGAUAUAAAUAUAUCAACGAAAAAUAUUGUUCCUGUCAAGAAACCAACAAAAAAUUGCACCCAAUGAACAAGACUACUUAUACAGAUCUAUUGUAUUGAAAUAUUUUAAUAUGUAUGUAAAUUGAUUUAGAACAAUGAAUUUGUCAUUUAAUAGCUUUGUUAUCAGUUUGUCAUUUGACUUGCUUUGUAUAAAUGUCUUAUGACCUGCUUUAUAUUGUCAUUGGCUACUGAAUAAAAUUCAGCAUCAUGGAA